AACUGACUUAUGAACCAAUGCUUGGAUCAUUUCAAAUAAAUGAAAGUAAUCAUGUUUUAUGUGGGAGCAAAUGUAAUUUUAGUGGCAAUUAAAUUUUAGGUAUGAAGAACUUUUUUGUGGCAAUUGUAUAGCAUACAAAUGGUUCAAAGUAACUCUUUCAUGGCAAUACUAAUUGCUGCAAAAUAUAGAAUUAUGGUUUUAGCGGCA
rnacentral:lncRNA from 1 species